rnacentral:tRNA from 1 species
GCCCAGCUAGCUCAGUCAGUAGAGCAUGAGACUCUUAAUCUCAAGGUCGUGGGUUCAGGCCCCAUGUUGGACA